AUUGAACGCUGGCGGCAGGCCUAACACAUGCAAGUCGAGCGGAGCGGCGGACGGGUGAGUAAUGCCUAGGAAUAUGCCUGGUAGUGGGGGAUAACGUCCGGAAACGGGCGCUAAUACCGCAUACUAUCAGAUGAGCCUAGGUCGGAUUAGCUAGUGGGUGGGGGAAAGGCCUACCAGGGCGACGAUCCGUAACUGGUCUGAGAGGAUGAUCAGUCAAACUGGAACUGAGACACGGUCCAGACUCCUACGGGAGGCAGAAGUGGGGAAUAUUGGACAAUGGGCGAAAGCCUGAUCCAGCCAUGCCGCGUGUGUGAAGAAGGUCUUCGGAUGGUAAAGCACGUUAAGUUGGGAGGCGUUACCCGCAGAAGAAGCACCGGCUAACUCCGUGCCAGCAGCCGCGGUAAUUC
rnacentral:rRNA from 1 species